rnacentral:misc_RNA from 1 species
GGUUGUGGAAAGCUGUUGUGGAGCUGGCCAAUGAAGAAGAUGCUAGACUUUUGCUACAGAGGGCUGUGGAAUGCUGUCCAUUGCAUGUGGAGCUGUGGCUUGCUCUUGCCAAGUUGGAGACUUAUGAAAAUGCUAAGAAAGUACUUAACAAGGCUAGAGAAAAGCUGCCUAAAGAGCCUGCCAUCUGGAUCACUGCAGCUAGGCUUGAAGAGGCUGAUGGGAAUACUGCUUCAGUUGGGAAAAUUAUUGAAAGGGCAAUAAGGGCUUUGCAGAGAGAAGGUUUGGAGAUUGACAGGGAGGCUUGGAUGAAGGAGGCUGAAGGAUGUGAGAGAGCUGGUUCUCUUGGGACUUGCCAAGCUAUAAUAAACAACACUGUUGGGGUUGGUGUUGAGGAAGAAGAUAGGAAGAGGACCUGGGUUGCUGAUGCUGAGGAGUGCAAGAAAAGGGGUUCUAUUGAAACAGCGAAAUACAUUUAUGCACAUGCUCUUACUGUAUUUAGAACUAAGAAAAGCAUCUGGCUUAAAGCUGCACAGCUCGAGAAAAGUCAUGGCACGAGGGAAUCACUUGAUGCACUGCUUCGAAAAGCAGUUACCUACAUUCCAAAGGCUGAGGUUCUAUGGUUGAUGGGUGCCAAA